GACAGAGGGUGCAAACGUUGUUCGGAAUUACUGGGCGUAAAGCGUGUGUAGGCGGCCACGUAAGUCGGAUGUGAAAGCCCCAGGCUCAACCUGGGAAGUGCACUCGAUACUGCGUGGCUUGAGUAUCGGAGAGGUUGGUGGAAUUCUCGGUGUAGAGGUGAAAUUCGUAGAUAUCGAGAGGAACACCGGUGGCGAAGGCGGCUUCCUGGACCGACACUGACGCUGAGGCGCGAAAGCUAGGGGAGCAAACGGG
rnacentral:rRNA from 1 species